CUUUAGGACUGAGAGCACAACAGCCCGUAUGAACUGGAUACUGUUUAGAGCUAAUGUAAUGCUGGAGUCCUAAAAAGGUGCUUACAGCAGCCAGAAAGGAGUUACAGAACAUGGCAACUUCUCACUGCAUAGGGAUACAAAAAAUGGCCUAGAAAUGUCUUUUCCAGAUGGAGCACUCUGCAUCAAAGGGGGACUUCAUAACCCUAUGAAGGGUGACACUGAGGUCCCAUGCUGGAACAGAGCCAGUAACAAAUGGAUUUGUACUCACACGGCCUUAAGGAAUUUGGAUGACGUUGGACUGGAGAAGAUGGAGUGGGAUUGUUUGUGAAUGGCAUGCAAAUAUUGCUGCCAGCUGGACCAUACUUGAAAUAAAGGAACCCAGUGUGAUUUGAAUUGCAGUAAGUAAGUAGUCCAGAAUAUUUGAUACCAAGGCCUGUACUGGCUCCAGCCUGCUUAGGGCCAAUCAUAUCAAGAAUCAAAGAGGUUUUCCUUGUGGGAAAUUUCCUGCUCUAAGAUCUCCUGACCAUGCAAAGAAUAAUCUUUUCCACAGUGCUCAGCCACCCAUAUCCAGGCCAUUAGGGAGCAACUUAGAGUCAGGCGGAGAAUCUGGCCUUGAUUCUGUGACAAUAACUCAGGGGUAGUCUGGAGUUUAAACCAGUCGCUAACACAGGGGUGGGCAAAAGCCUUUCUGGCCUGCAAGGCAGUUUCAGGCCCCACCCCCUAGCUCCUUGCCUGGAGCAAGAGAGGGGCACAACCCUUCAAAUUGCUUCUAUUUAAAGGGCUCGAGUCUUCCCCGCACCUUGCCUAGCAGCUCCGGGAGAGGCACAAUCCCUUUAAAUAGAAACAGCUGAAAGGGCUGGGGGUCUCUGGUUCCCUAGCAACAUGCUAGAGGCAGGCGAGAACUGAGCCCUCCCAGCUGUUUCUAUUUAAAGCGCUCUCCUGUUCCCCUGUUGCGUUGCCUAGCAGCGGUGGGGAAGGCAGCUGCCCUUUAUACAGAAACAGCUGAAAGGGCUUGCAGCUGCCCCAGCCUCUAGCAUGUUGCUGGACUGCGAUCCCUUUCAGCUGUUUCUAUUUAAAGGGCUCAUGCCUUCCCCAGGACUGCUAGACAACGCAUUGCCUAGCAGCCCAGGGAACCAGGAGAGCCCUUUAAAUAGAAAGAGCUGAAAGAGAUUGUGGUGUAGUGUUUUAGUACCUUGUUGGUUAUGAUGCUUGGGCUGUGGGAGAUGGCCCAGCAGGGGUUAUCCUGCCGCUCCCAAGAUGGUAGCAAAACCGAUUAUACAAGUUAAGGGAAGAGAGGGACAAAGGACUUGUCGGUGGGGGGAGAGCCAGUUGCUGUCUGGGAAGCAUGGAGAGAACAGGCUAAGCUGGGGGCUGGGGGUGAUGAA